rnacentral:misc_RNA from 1 species
GACGAACCGUGCGAACGUUGUUCGGAAUCACUGGGCUUAAAGGGCGCGUAGGCGGCCAGCCAAGUCAGAGGUGAAAGCCUUCGGCUCAACCGGAGAAGUGCCUUUGAUACUGGUUGGCUAGAGCGAGGUAGGGGCAUGUGGAACUUCCAGUGGAGCGGUGAAAUGCGUUGAUAUUGGAAGGAACGCCGGUGGCGAAAGCGACAUGCUGGACCUCUUCUGACGCUGAGGCGCGAAAGCUAGGGGAGCAAACGGG